CUGAUCACCCAACUGUGGUAGUGUUGGUUGAUUGGUGUUUAUAUUUGUUCAAGCUUGACAACCUUAACGACUUUAUUUUCUAAUAUAUAUUUCUCAUUGCAGAUAAGAACAAAGAUUAAAUUGUAAGAAGGGCUGCUUGUAAGAGCAUACAGUACAUCUGAAACUGCUGAGGCUGGGAAGGUUUUUGACUGUAUUUCCAACCAGAUCAGCUGCUACAGAAGACAAACUGAAAUCUGAGUGCAGAGACAAGCAAAGGAAUACUGCAAGGCACUUGUGCAAAAUAUUGUAUGCCAGGAUGACUAGGCUGUGCCCAGGUCUCCAGAACCUGCGACGACGCUCAGCUCCAUUGGCCCUUUGUCUGUGCCUUCGGAUCCACCAGCUCUGUCUCCAUCAGUCAGCCCCCAGAUGUCGGCAGCCACACCAUCUACAUCUUGGCUCCUCCCUCCCUCGACUCCGCCUUGUAUUGUCAGCACUGGGAUGCUCUGGGUCUGUGCCAUGUGCCAAACUCCAUCUAAGCCGCCAGGGCAUCAUCGUCAUCCUCCCAUCACCAUCCCUUCACCACAUCCUGCCAUCAUCCCGCACCUUUGCCUCUCACCAUUCCUACACCAUCUCCUCGUCCACCUCCAAAACCCCCUCCAUCCCUCCCUAUUCUGUUGCUUGAACUUUAUCAUCUUCAGUCUUUGCACACACAUCUAUUCAC